rnacentral:tRNA from 1 species
GAGGCAAUAGCUCAGUAGUAGAGCCCCUGCUUCACAUGCGGGGAGACCCGGGUUGUAUUCCCGGCUGCUUCC